CGAUGCUGUGCUCGGUGUAGGGCUCUGGAAAACUUCUGCUGCUGCUGCUGCUGCUGCUGCUUAGGGCAGUUUUGCCAUUGAUGGGCACGCGUGUGGUCCUAGGUCUGGGCCAGAUAAAUAGCGCGACAACAGCAACGCGUGUGAGAACUUCAUAAAACCAUAAAAGAUACCAAAGCCGACUAAAAGAUACCCGCUACUCGGGUAGCCCAAAAUUUAUAAAUAGCAAGUAUAUCUCUGAUUUCAAGGCUGACUUCUAGAUCUAGUUUCUUAGCACGACUUUACACACACGUAUUUUUUUUUGUGAGAGAGCUCUCCACCAGCGCAACAUGCCCUAGUAGCUCUGCUCAUCACUGGGUACUACAAAUCGGAUACUAAAUGCAAAAAGGCGGAAAUAUAUUUGAGCAAAAGCGAGGAGAGAAAUUUGCCGCUCAGUUGUCGAAACCGUUAACCAAAUGGCCCGCAGCAGAGAUAUGCGCGGGAGAUAUUCGAUUUCACCACGAACCGGAGGGCGUGUGGCAAUAAUGCGAUUAAAUGUUAUAUUUUUAGAUGUCAGGUAUGUAUGUAUCUUGUGUGCUUCCCAGAAGAAACGGAGCUUAGUGCUGCCGUUUCUGUUGAAUUCUGAAAGGUAUGGAUGGGCCAGAUCCAGCUCCAGUUCCAGGACCACUGGCCGUAUGCUUGAUGUGCAAUCAAAAUGACAUCAAUUGUCUCAUAAAUCAUGGCACCCGAAUGUAUAAAUUACACCCCGCAUAGAUCGCAGCCGAAGAACCGCAAUGCUUUCGCCUAAUUCCUGUGAAUCGAAACAAAAGGCACAGCAACAGCAAAAACAACACAAAUCCCAAUUCCCAAUUCAAUCCUAAGCGGCAAGCUGCGCUCCUUGAAAUAUUAAUAAAAGAACCUUCUUUUUUUAUGUAUACAUAUUCAGAUUUCGGACUGCGUUCGGCUUAUGGAGGAACUGCUGCACCGCACCCAUUCAGAGUUCGAUGAUAAAGUGAUGAUGCCCCAAGGUUUCGAAAUUGCUUUCAAAUAGAUUCCGAGCCCCGGAGCCAAGCCACUUCUGACUUCUGAAUUCAGGCAAAAGAGUUUAGCAUAUGAAUAAAGAGCGCACCGCCCCAAAAGAUUCGUCUCGAUCCCCGAUGCCCGAUCCACGACCAACCGAUUCCGAUCCGUUGAGUUCCCCUCCCCAAUUUAUAUGCAAAGCGACAAUGUGUGGUGAUAAUGCCGCGAUGAUCCAGCAUUGGGCCAUAGCAAGGCCAUGGCAUCGGGAUGAGAGUGAUGAUGAUGCCACCAUCAUGCGGCAGGGCGAAAUAAUUAAACGAGUAUCGUAAAACUAAAAUAUAAUGGAUUUAUGUAAAGUUAUGUUACACGCUCUGGCUGGAAAUGGACACAAAUGCGAUAAGCCGGCUCACAACAAAUGGCAGCAAAUAAAUAAAAAAUCAUUAAGAGCUUCGGUUCGGUUCGACUCGGUUUGGUUUGGUUCGGGCCUGUCCUAUUAUGGAUGGACUCACAGAUACUCACUAAAUGCCGAAUAAAGCAUUGAGAUAGGCUCAAACAGAAAACCAGCUUAGGGGCGGUUCUGGCUUUUGAUGUAAGCCCACAAAUCAGUUAAACAAAUUUUUAUUUACCAAAAAAAAAAAUACAAAAUAAUUUGCCGCAAAAUUCAUUCACGACCUGUGAUCUGAGACAAGACACAAAAGAAACAACCGAAUGUGUAGAAAAAUUGGACAUAUAAUUAUUAAAAGGUGUUUUCGCCUUGAGUGGCUCCGCCUGUGGCAGCCGGGGAUGGACAUUGGUCACCAAUUAUGCUAAUACCUUGCUGAAAAUAUCUGCCUAAAAUCCAUAUUUAAAUUAUUAACACAGAAACCGCAGCUAAGCGAAUUCCCCAUUCGGUUUUGAAAACCAACUGCUAGCCAGAUUGAACAUGUUCAACAUUAAUCUUGACUGAUAAAUUAAAAAAGAAUUAAUUAAAAUGAGCAAUCACUUUGGG